rnacentral:rRNA from 1 species
GACGAACGCUGGCGGCGUGCUUAACACAUGCAAGUCGAACGGAAAGGCCCUGCUUUUGUGGGGUGCUCGAGUGGCGAACGGGUGAGUAACACGUGAGUAACCUGCCCUUGACUUUGGGAUAACUUCAGGAAACUGGGGCUAAUACCGGAUAGGAGCUCCUGCUGCAUGGUGGGGGUUGGAAAGUUUCGGCGGUUGGGGAUGGACUCGCGGCUUAUCAGCUUGUUGGUGGGGUAGUGGCUUACCAAGGCUUUGACGGGUAGCCGGCCUGAGAGGGUGACCGGCCACAUUGGGACUGAGAUACGGCCCAGACUCCUACGGGAGGCAGCAGUGGGGAAUAUUGCACAAUGGGCGGAAGCCUGAUGCAGCAACGCCGCGUGCGGGAUGACGGCCUUCGGGUUGUAAACCGCUUUCGCCUGUGACGAAGCGUGAGUGACGGUAAUGGGUAAAGAAGCACCGGCUAACUACGUGCCAGCAGCCGCGGUGAUACGUAGGGUGCGAGCGUUGUCCGGAUUUAUUGGGCGUAAAGGGCUCGUAGGUGGUUGAUCGCGUCGGAAGUGUAAUCUUGGGGCUUAACCCUGAGCGUGCUUUCGAUACGGGUUGACUUGAGGAAGGUAGGGGAGAAUGGAAUUCCUGGUGGAGCGGUGGAAUGCGCAGAUAUCAGGAGGAACACCAGUGGCGAAGGCGGUUCUCUGGGCCUUUCCUGACGCUGAGGAGCGAAAGCGUGGGGAGCGAACAGGCUUAGAUACCCUGGUAGUCCACGCUGUAAACGGUGGGUACUAGGUGUGGGGUCCAUUCCACGGGUUCCGUGCCGUAGCUAACGCUUUAAGUACCCCGCCUGGGGAGUACGGCCGCAAGGCUAAAACUCAAAGGAAUUGACGGGGCCCCGCACAAGCGGCGGAGCAUGCGGAUUAAUUCGAUGCAACGCGUAGAACCUUACCUGGGUUUGACAUGGAUCGGGAGUGCUCAGAGAUGGGUGUGCCUCUUUUGGGGUCGGUUCACAGGUGGUGCAUGGCUGUCGUCAGCUCGUGUCGUGAGAUGUUGGGUUAAGUCCCGCAACGAGCGCAACCCUUGUUCACUGUUGCCAGCACGUUAUGGUGGGGACUCAGUGGAGACCGCCGGGGUCAACUCGGAGGAAGGUGGGGAUGACGUCAAGUCAUCAUGCCCCUUAUGUCCAGGGCUUCACGCAUGCUACAAUGGCUGGUACAGAGAGUGGCGAGCCUGUGAGGGUGAGCGAAUCUCGGAAAGCCGGUCUCAGUUCGGAUUGGGGUCUGCAACUCGACCUCAUGAAGUCGGAGCCGCUAGUAAUCGCAGAUCAGCAACGCUGCGGUGAAUACGUUCCCGGGGC